CCUACGGGAGGCAGCAGUGGGGAAUAUUGCACAAUGGGCGCAAGCCUGACGCAGCAACGCCGCGUGAGUGAAGAAGGUCUUCGGAUCGUAAAGCUCUGUCCUUGAGGAUGAACGAAGUGACGGUACUCAAGUAGCAAGCCCCGGCUAACUACGUGCCAGCAGCCGCGGUAAUACGUGGGUGGCAAGCGUUAUCCGGAAUUAUUGGGCGUAAAGAGUACGUAGGUGGUUUUGUAAGCGCGGGGUGAAAGGCCGUGGCUUAACCUUUGUACACAUGGCGAAUUGUAAGACUUGAGUGCAGGAGAGGAAAGCGGAAUUCCUAGUGUAGCGGUGAAAUGCUUAGAUAUUAGGAGGAACACCAGGGGCGAAGGCGGCUUACUGGACUGUAACUGACACUGAGGUACGAAAGCGUGGGGAGCAAACAGGAUUAGAUACCCCAGUAGUC
rnacentral:rRNA from 1 species